rnacentral:rRNA from 1 species
GACGAACGCUGGCGGCGUGCCUAAUACAUGCAAGUAGAACGCUGAAGGAGGAGCUUGCUUCUCCGGAUGAGUUGCGAACGGGUGAGUAACGCGUAGGUAACCUGCCUGGUAGCGGGGGAUGACUAUUGGAAACGAUAGCUAAUACCGCAUAACAGUAGAUAUCGCAUGAUAUCUGCUUGAAAGGUGCAAUUGCAUCACUACCAGAUGGACCUGCGUUGUAUUAGCUAGUUGGUGAGGUAACGGCUCACCAAGGCGACGAUACAUAGCCGACCUGAGAGGGUGAUCGGCCACACUGGGACUGAGACACGGCCCAGACUCCUACGGGAGGCAGCAGGAGGGAAUCUUCGGCAAUGGACGGAAGUCUGACCGAGCAACGCCGCGUGAGUGAAGAAGGGUGUCGGAUCGUAAAGCUCUGUUGUAAGAGAAGAACGAGGGUGAGAGUGGAAAGUUCACACUGUGACGGUAGCUUACCAGAAAGGGACGGCUAACUACGUG